rnacentral:rRNA from 1 species
AUGAACGCUAGCUACAGGCUUAACACAUGCAAGUCGAGGGGCAGCAUGAACUUAGCUUGCUAAGUUUGAUGGCGACCGGCGCACGGGUGAGUAACACGUAUCCAACCUGCCGAUGACUCGGGGAUAGCCUUUCGAAAGAAAGAUUAAUACCCGAUGGCAUAGUUCUUCCGCAUGGUAGAACUAUUAAAGAAUUUCGGUCAUCGAUGGGGAUGCGUUCCAUUAGGUUGUUGGCGGGGUAACGGCCCACCAAGCCUUCGAUGGAUAGGGGUUCUGAGAGGAAGGUCCCCCACAUUGGAACUGAGACACGGUCCAAACUCCUACGGGAGGCAGCAGUGAGGAAUAUUGGUCAAUGGACGAGAGUCUGAACCAGCCAAGUAGCGUGAAGGAUGACUGCCCUAUGGGUUGUAAACUUCUUUUAUACGGGAAUAAAGUGAGGCACGUGUGCCUUUUUGUAUGUACCGUAUGAAUAAGGAUCGGCUAACUCCGUGCCAGCAGCCGCGGUAAUACGGAGGAUCCGAGCGUUAUCCGGAUUUAUUGGGUUUAAAGGGAGCGUAGGCGGACGCUUAAGUCAGUUGUGAAAGUUUGCGGCUCAACCGUAAAAUUGCAGUUGAUACUGGGUGUCUUGAGUACAGUAGAGGCAGGCGGAAUUCGUGGUGUAGCGGUGAAAUGCUUAGAUAUCACGAAGAACUCCGAUUGCGAAGGCAGCUUGCUGGACUGUAACUGACGCUGAUGCUCGAAAGUGUGGGUAUCAAACAGGAUUAGAUACCCUGGUAGUCCACACAGUAAACGAUGAAUACUCGCUGUUUGCGAUAUACAGUAAGCGGCCAAGCGAAAGCGUUAAGUAUUCCACCUGGGGAGUACGCCGGCAACGGUGAAACUCAAAGGAAUUGACGGGGGCCCGCACAAGCAGUGGAGUAUGUGGUUUAAUUCGAAGCAACGCGAAGAACCUUACCAGGUCUUGACAUCCGAUGCAUAACACAGAGAUGUGUGAAAUCCUUCGGGACAUCGAGACAGGUGGUGCAUGGUUGUCGUCAGCUCGUGCCGUGAGGUGUCGGCUUAAGUGCCAUAACGAGCGCAACCCUUAUCGAUAGUUACCAUCAGGUUAUGCUGGGGACUCUGUCGAGACUGCCGUCGUAAGAUGUGAGGAAGGUGGGGAUGACGUCAAAUCAGCACGGCCCUUACGUCCGGGGCUACACACGUGUUACAAUGGGGGGUACAGAAGGCAGCUACACGGCGACGUGAUGCUAAUCCCGAAAGCCUCUCUCAGUUCGGAUUGGAGUCUGCAACCCGACUCCAUGAAGCUGGAUUCGCUAGUAAUCGCGCAUCAGCCACGGCGCGGUGAAUACGUUCCCGGGCCUUGUACACACCGCCCGUCAAGCCAUGAAAGCCGGGGGUACCUGAAGUGCGUAACCGCAAGGAGCGCCCUAGGGUAAAACUGGUGAUUGGGGCU